rnacentral:rRNA from 1 species
CCCUUAGAUGUUCUGGGCCGCACGCGCGCUACACUGAUGCAUUCAACGAGUUUCUUCCUGGUCCGAGAGGAAUGGGUAACCUUUUGAAAGUGCAUCGUGAUAGGGAUAGACUAUUGCAAUUAUUGGUCUUCAACGAGGAAUUCCUAGUAGACGUAGUUCAUCAGACUGCAUCGAUUACGUCCCUGCCCUUUGUACACACCGCCCGUCGCUCCUACCGAUUGAAUGCUCUGGUGAGCCAUUCGGACUUUCAUCAUGCUGGUUUCCAGUUUUGAUGAAGGAAAGUCUUGCGAACCUUAUCAUUUAGAGGAAGGAGAAGUCGUAACA